rnacentral:rRNA from 1 species
AUUGAACGCUGGCGGCAGGCCUAACACAUGCAAGUCGAACGAGUGGCGGACGGGUGAGUAAUGUCUGGGAAACUGCCUGAUGGAGGGGGAUAACGACUGGAAAAGGUAGCUCAUACCGCAUACCAUCGGAUGUGCCCAGAUGGGAUUAGCUAGUAGGUGGGGUAACGGCUCACCUAGGCGACGAUCCCUAGCUGGUCUGAGAGGAUGACCAGCCACACUGGAACUGAGACACGGUCCAGACUCCUACGGGAGGCAGCAGUGGGGAAUAUUGCACGAUGGGCGCAAGCCUGAUGCAGCCAUGCCGCGUGUAUGAAGAAGGCCUUCGGGUUGUAAAGUACUUUCAGCGAGGAGGCGUUACCCGCAGAAGAAGCACCGGCUAACUCCGUGCCAGCAGCCGCGGUAAUAC